rnacentral:lncRNA from 1 species
CUGAGGCAGGAGAAUCUUGAACUCAGGAGGUGGAGGUUGCAGUGAGCCGAGAUUGCGCCACUGCACUCCAGCCUGGGUGACAGAGUGAGAUUCCGUCUCAAAAAAAAAAAAAAACAAAAACUCAGACCCUGCUUUCCUUUGAAUAUAUACUAGAAGUGGAAUUGCUGGAUCAUAUGGUAAUUCUUUAAUUUUUCUGGGGGAACUGCUGUCCCAUUUUCCACAGCAGCUACACCAUUUUAUGUUCCCACCAACGGUGUACAACAAUUUCAAUUUCUCCACAUCCUUGUUCUUGUUAAUAGUAGCCACCCUAAUGUGUAUGAGGUGCCAUCUCGUGGUUUGGUGUGGGCUGUGUUUCAAUCAGAUGUUGGGACCCUUAAGUGUUCUGCACCUGGGGAGAGUUAGGAACCACUUAAGGAGUGUCUGUUGCUUGCCAAUCUUAAAAUUUUUAGUUUGCACCUGAAUCAGGGGCUGUCAGAGUCCAGACUGCUCUUGAAAUAGAAAAGACUGGUCGUUAAAGGCUGGUUCGUUGAGUCUUUCAUCGUUGAGUGAUACCACCUCUGCAGAUGGCUCAGUGGGGCAGCCCCGUACCACAGCCUGCCCUUGAGGUUGUGUAGUUUAGAUAGGUCACAGAGUUGCUGGGCCUACCGCAGGUCUCCUGACCCUGGUGCAGUUUUACUUCAAUUACAACCACCAAAAUAGCUACAGUCAAAAAUUCCAAAGUUCCUACACCAUCAACCUCCACCCCACUUCCGUCCAAAGUCCACUUAGAGGCUCUCAGUUUUGGACCUUAGAAACACUUAGGGAGCUUUUUAAAAAGAUCGAUUCUGUAUUUUUAGUAGAGAUGGGGUUUCACCCAGCUACUCAGGAGGCUGAGGCAGGAGAAUCACUUGAACCGGGGAGUUGGAGGUUGCAGUGAGCCGAGAUUAUGUCACUCCAGCCUGGGCAACAGAGUGAGACUCCGUCUUAGGAAAAAAAAAAAGAUUGAUUCUGGCCGGGCACAGUGGCUCACGCUUACAGUCCCAGCACUUUAAGAGACUCAGGCAGGAGGAUCACUUGAGCUUAGGAGUUUGAGACUAGCCUGGGCAACCCAGUGAGACCCCGUAUCUACAAAAAUUAGCCAGGUGUUGUGACAUGUGCCUGUGGUCCCAGCUACUCAAGAGGCUGAGGUGAGAGGAGCAAGUGAGCCCAGGAGUUCAAGGCUGCAAUGAGCUGUGAUCGCACCACUGCACUCCAGCUCGGGUGACAAGAGUGAGACCCCGUCUGAAAAAAAGAUUGAUCCCAAGGCCUUGCCCAGAUUCUGAUUUUAUUGGCCUGGAGUGUGGCCUAGGCAUUAGAAAAUCUUCAAGAGAGUCUAAGGUGCAGCGGAAUUGAGAGCCACGGACAGAAAAAGCCCUAAAUUGUGGAAAUGCACAGCCACCGUCACCACCUAUCGGUACGAUGACAUCUCAAGGAGUCACUGGCCCUAGGUUUCUGCAGUAGGAUCUUAAGAUCUGAUCUCUGCCCUCAAGUGAGUGCACGUGCAGUAAAGCUGUCAUCGUGCCAUGACAGAUGUCUGCAAGGACUUUACAGUGGGGUCCAAAGGAUGCCACCAUCAGCUCCACCUGGGGCUCAACAAAGCCUGAAAGAAGAAAGGGAUGAUGCUUCCAGCAGAAACCUGGAGGCCUGCAGCUCUGCCAGCCCAGCACAGCAAGCGAGGCCAUUUGUCCAGCAGGGGCAGAAGGAGGGAACUCAGCCAGCCAGCGUUUCCUACAAGCAGCUCCAUGAGAGGUUUCCACUUAAAAUGCUAAAUCAUAAUUAUUUAAUCAGAUUCGUUCCUUAAGUUCUUUAAGCAGCAUCGCUGUCCUACCACGAGUGGUCAUCAAGGAGCAGGGUUUAACUCAACUCUGAGUUACCCGGCAGGGUACCUGGGUAACUGCCUGGGUUGAGGUACCCAGCAGGCUUCAUGUGCAUGUGCACACUGCCCCCUGAUAGGACCUGGUUUAUUCACAGGCUCAGGUGUCACUGCAGCUCCCCAGUGACUAUCUUCGCGCAAGUUGGACUCAAUGGCCUGGGAGGUUUGUCCCAGCCGACAGAUACCUGACCAUGCCCAUCCUCACCAUUCCCUCCCCCAUGCUGCAUCCAUCCAACCUUGAUCUCCACUGUGUCCCAGGCACCCUAAGAUGCACAAGCUAUGUGGGCCCUGCCCUCACAGAACUUGUAGUCUUCUGCCCCAAACAAGCCAGUUCACCGUCUUCAUGAUCAGGCCAAAGGUUGAGGUACCCAGCAGGCUUCAUAUGCACAUGCACACUGUCCCCUAUAGGACCAUGCCUUGCCCAGCUGGCUGCACUCUAGAGGGUGCUUUGUAGGAAGGACAGAGUGGAGAGGACAGUGGGGAGGUACUUGGGUGUUCAACAGCCAGAAGGGAGGGAAACUGAAAAAGAAUCAGGAGUCCAGCCAUCCCCUCCCCACCUCCUGCCCCCACUUCCACCCUGGCUGCUGGCCCUUUGCCCUUGAAUAUGGGUGAUAUAGGUGUGGCUAUUCAGUUCCAGUCACAGUGCUGCCUCUAUGUCUUUUGCAAGCUGGGGUCUUCCUUACUCAGAAGGCCUGGAGGCCCUGCCAGAUGCUGCCUUCCGGACUGGCUGCCCGCUGCAGUGUUUUCACGGGAGCCAAGCCAGCCCCGGGCCUGUAGCCUCCCAUGUGACAAAGUUUCAGACACCACAGUCCUCAGCUGGACCACAGUAAACACUUGCCUUCCCCAACCCAUGAUUCUUGCUUGGAAACAUGAACCUGAUGUUCCACGUGCGUUCAGCCAAUCAAACCUCAAGAAUGUGAUUGAGCAGUGAGGCUGCGUUUUGGGCAAGACACUGAGCUCUGAAAUAAGACUUUUCUUGGAAUCUCAAGCCCUCAACUUACAGUGGGACCCUAAGAAAUGCACUUCAGUUUCCUUUUAUGUAAAAUGGUGGUAAAAUUAAUUGUGUUCAUUAAAUUGCACACAACUAUACAUGUUUACCUAUACACUAAGUGGUUCUCAACUUGGGGCAAUUUGCCCCCCAGGGGACAUUCAGCAGUGUCUGCGGACAUUUUUUGUUGCUACUGGAGGGAGGUGCUACUGGCAUCUAGGGAGUGGAGGCUAGAGAUGCUGCUAAACUACAGUCCACAGGACAGUCUCCACAGCAAAGAAUUGUCCAGCCCCAAAUAUCAAUAAUGCCGAGGUUGAGGAAACCCUGCCACAUACACAUAGAUGCGGGUUAACAUUGUUUAUUUUACAAAGUGGAAUCAUUUACAUUUUAGCCAUUCUGAUAGAUGAAGCAGUGGCAUCUUUUUUUUUUUUUUUUUUUUUUUGAGACGGGGUCUCACUCUGUUGCCCAGGCUGGAGUGCAGGGUUGCAAUCACGGCUCACAGCAGCCUCGAAGUCCCAGGACCAAGCAACCCUCCCACCGCAGCCUUCCAAGUAACUGGGACUACAGGCACACAACACCAUGCCCAGCUAAUUUUUUAAUUUUUUUGUAGAGACGGGGUUUCACCAUGUUGCCCAGGCUCAAACUCCUGAGCUCACACGAUCUGCUGCCUUCACCUUCCAAAGUGCUGGGAUUACAGGUGUAAGCCACUAUGCCCAGCCUCAUUUGUACUUCAGUUUGCAAUUCUCUAUUAAUAAAUCUAAGCAUCUUUUCACA